CAGGGAAUAGUUUAAGUAGAAUGUCAGCUUUGGGUGCUGAUGGUGGGGUUGUUAUCUCUUCCUUGA
rnacentral:tRNA from 1 species